rnacentral:rRNA from 2 species
GGGACAGAUGAUUGGGGUGAAGUCGUAACAAGGUAGCCGUAUCGGAAGGUGCGGCUGGAUCACCUCCUUUCUAAGGA